UCAUUCUUAGGGGGAUCUUGAUAAAACUGCCUGGUUUAGUGGUUUGCACGAGACGGUUGACACAAUGAUCUGAAGUUCAAACUGCCAUUUUCUACUGUCCGCUGCGAGAUCUUGGCUGGAAUGUAAAAGGAAUGUCCAAAAUAUUUAAAUGACAAACAGGAUGGGAACUGAUAAUGAGGAAUAUGCUGAAACAGACAUCUGGCAUAUUCCUAUAAUCAGUAUCAUGGCCUUUGUAUACAACAAAAUUGAUUGGAACUCCUAGACUAGAAAUAUAAUUCAAGAUUUAAAUAAGGCACUGGUCAUAGUUUUAGAAAGAGUGGCUAACAUUCUGAAGGAAGACAGAGAGAUGGAAAGACAUCAAAGAAUGGG
rnacentral:sRNA from 1 species